ACGUGAUCUGAGUUCAGACCGGAGUAAUCCAGGUCAGUUUCUAUCUAUAAAAAACUUUUUCCAGUACGAAAGGACCGAAAAAGCAUGGCCAAUGUUUUUUAUAAGCCAUAACCAUUAAUUUAUGACUAAGCUCAAUAAACAAGUGGUCUACCACCCAACUCUAGAUAAAGAGUA
rnacentral:rRNA from 1 species